UACGUAGGGUGCGAGCGUUGUCCGGAAUUAUUGGGCGUAAAGGGCUCGUAGGCGGUUUGUCGCGUCGGGAGUGAAAUCAUCUGGCUUAACUGGGUGCUUGCUUUCGAUACGGGCAGACUAGAGGUAUGCAGGGGAGAACGGAAUUCCUGGUGUAGCGGUGAAAUGCGUAGAUAUCUGGAGGAACACCGGUGGCGAAGGCGGCAUCCUGGACCGGCAUUGACGCUGAGGCGCGAAAGCCAGGGGAGCAAACGGG
rnacentral:rRNA from 1 species